AGUUUUAUAUUCAAGAAUGAUUUAAAAUUGCAAAUUUUAAGGUAUAUAAUUUUUAUAUUAAAACUU
rnacentral:tRNA from 1 species